CCUACGGGAGGCAGCAGUCGAGAAUCAUUCACAAUGGGGGAAACCCUGAUGGUGCGACGCCGCGUGGGGGAAUGAAGGUCUUCGGAUUGUAAACCCCUGUCAUGUGGGAGCAAAUUAAAAAGAUAGUACCACAAGAGGAAGAGACGGCUAACUCUGUGCCAGCAGCCGCGGUAAUACAGAGGUCUCAAGCGUUGUUCGGAAGCACUGGGCGUAAGGCGUGCGUAGGCUGUUUCGUAAGUCGUGUGUGAAAGGCGCGGGCUCAACCCGCGGACGGCACAUGAUACUGCGAGACUAGAGUAAUGGAGGGGGAACCGGAAUUCUCGGUGUAGCAGUGAAAUGCGUAGAUAUCGAGAGGAACACUCGUGGCGAAGGCGGGUUCCUGGACAUUAACUGACGCUGAGGCACGAAGGCCAGGGGAGCGAAAGGGAUUAGAUACCCGUGUAGUC
rnacentral:rRNA from 1 species